UACGAAGGGUGCAAACGUUGCUCGGAAUUAUUGGGCGUAAAGCGCACGUAAGCGGCUUUUCAAGUCGGAUGUGAAAUCCCUCGGCUUAACCAAGGAAGUGCAUCCGAAACUGGAGAGCUUGAGUACUUAAGAGGAUCGCGGAAUUCCCGGUGUAGAGGUGAAAUUCGUAGAUAUCGGGAGGAACACCAGUGGCGAAGGCGGCGAUCUGGGAAGAUACUGACGCUGAGGUGCGAAAGCGUGGGGAGCAAACAGG
rnacentral:rRNA from 1 species